AGAGUUUGAUCAUGGCUCAGGACGAACGCUGGCGGCGUGCUUAACACAUGCAAGUGGAGCGACGAACCAGGCUUCGGCCUGGGGCAAAGCCGCGAACGGGUGAGUAACACGUGGGUAACGUGCCCCGAUGACCGGGACAACCCGAGGAAACUCGGGCUAAUACCGGAUGUACUGCAGAGACAUCAGUUUCUGCAACAAAGGAAGCUUCGGCCUCCGCAUCGGGAGCGGCCCGCGGCCCAUUAGCUUGUUGGUGAGGUAACGGCUCACCAAGGCUGCGAUGGGUAGCUGGUCUGAGAGGACGAUCAGCCACACUGGGACUGAGACACGGCCCAGACUCCUACGGGAGGCAGCAGUGGGGAAUCUUGCGCAAUGCGCGAAAGCGUGACGCAGCAACGCCGCGUGGGGGAUGAAGGCCUUCGGGUUGUAAACCUCUUUCAGCAGGGAAGAAGCGAAAGUGACGGUACCUGCAGAAGAAGCACCGGCUAACUACGUGCCAGCAGCCGCGGUAAUUC
rnacentral:rRNA from 1 species